rnacentral:lncRNA from 1 species
CACGAAGGACAAAUCAUUUCCAGAAUUCUUUGAAAGAGGUAAUGUAAAUUCUUUUCCACUUUAGGGUUUCAAUUUGGUUAAGGUACUGUAAAGUAUCGUCCUUUUUAGGGUUUCAAUUUGGUUAGGUACGGUUAACUCUUCUACUCUUUAGUGUUUAAUUUUGCUAGAGAAAACUUCCAAGGAUUGUUUGAAUUAGAAAAUUGUUUCAAAACAGAAUUUAUUAGUUGCAACAUAUGAAAGUUUUUCUCAAUUAGGCAUUUUCUUGCGUUUGUUGUCAUUUCUCUUUGUUGUUAAUACUGUAUGCGUCAUGGGCACCUCCGAAAUUUUGCUUCUGCUUUCUGGUAAUUCUCCAUGUAAAAAGGGAAAAAUCACUUUCAAUUUUAUUCAGAAUUUGUAUAACUAUACAUUUAACAGGUAAUUGUAAAUACUAGUACUAUAUGUACCAUUUAUCGUUUUGUACUUGUCGUAUUUGUUUUAUUUACAGUUGUAUUUGAAGUGAGAUCAAUUGAUUACGUUACUUAGCUUACUUUUUGCUUCGCAUCAAGUGGUAAAAACUGAUCUAAAAAUGAUUAUUUGAUAUGUCAGGUAGCUGGUAAAAGUAUUACUUUGUUAAACAUUAAUUGAUAAUAUAGAACUCCUGUUUUGAGCCUAAAAUCUUUUUAUUUCAACAUUCACAUCUUCACAUAUAUCCUUUUGAGUGCAUAAAUGCACUUUCCCUUGAUCCCACCUUCUUGAACGCAGUAUCUAAGAUCUAUUCACGAGUCCGGAGCCUAAAGGGCAAAAAAAAUGGUCAAAAAUUCCAAAAGGGCACAUCACUUUUUAUUUUAGCCAAAAGGGCAAAAUCGCUGCGUCAGCAGCGAUUUUCCUCUGACAAAAUGACAAAAUCACUGCCCUAGCAGCGAUUUCGUCUAAAAAAAAAAUUUUAAAAAAAAAAUAAAAAUCGCUGCUUUUUUUUCUUUAAAAAAACUAAAACAGCACAUCAAAAAAAAAAUUAACCAAAAGGGCUUCUGACAAAACAAAGAAUAUACAUCUCAUGUACACAAAACAAUGCUUCACUACUGUGGAUAUACAUCUCAUGUACAUAAAAGAAUAUUAAAUUCAGAAAAAAACUUUUUUUAAAAAAUUCUUAACCAAAUUCGCUGCUAUAGCAGCAAUUUUGAAGAAAAAAAAGUUUUUUUUUUUUUUGAGAAAAUAUGCAGCGAUUUUUAUUUUUGUUUUGUCAGAAGCCCUUUUGGUUAAUUUUUUUUUUGAUGUGCUGUUUUAGUUUUUUUAAAGAAAAAAAAGCAGCGAUUUUUACAGAGGAAAAUCGCUGCUGACGCAGCGAUUUUGCCCUUUUGGCUAAAUAAAAAGUGAUGUGCCCUAUUGGAAUUUUUGACCAUUUUUUUUGCCCUUUAGGCUCUGGACUCAUCUAUUCACUGUCAAAGAUCUAAGUUGGUUGACAAAGUGAAAAGGUGAAAUAUGUGAAUGCCCAAAAAGAAAUACACACAAAGAAAAUCUUCAAAAAUAAAAUAAAAUAUAUAUAUAUGAAAAAAACCUCCGACAAAAAGGAUCGAAAAAGAGAAAAAAGAGAAGAAAAUAAAUGAGAAGCUUCCAAGCAAACAAAGAUCAAGUGCGAAAAUGAAAAAAAUAAAAUUUGAGAGCAUAGUGCAAUGUUUAAGAAGGAAAUAAUCACUUUAAUUAGAAACACUUUUUUUCAAACCCGUAAGUGUGUGGUGGUAAGAAAAAAGGGGUGUGACACAUAUUACCCAACCCAUUCAAAAAUUUCCCUAGACCUCGCCUUGCUCACAUUCCAUCUGAGAGUGGCCUAACCUAGAAGUUUUAAGUCGUGACCCAAAAGUAAUUUUCUGACCCAUUUCUUUCCCCAUUGGCCUAUUCAAAACUAACAGGAUGGGUCAUUACACAAAGGGUCACCCUAAAAAAUGAAUUAUUUACUAUAGUGAGCUUUGCCAAAGCAAAGAUCUUUGCUAUACCGAAGGUUGGAAAAAUAGUAAUGUAUUUUAAGUCAGUUUUUCAGUCUUAGAGCUUAUUUGAUUGGCUUAUUUUAGGGACUUUAAGCACUUUUACAGUGUAUGGAUAAAAUUAAAAAAAUACUUUAAGCACUUGGUUAUAAAUCAAAAUAGCAAAAAUAAGUUAAAAAACAUAAGUUAGAAAUCCUAACUUUAAAAUUUUUGACUUAUAAGCAAAAUAUAAUAAGUCAAUCCAAACGGGCUCUUAGUUAGAACUUAGCUAGCGUUUGGCCAUAGAUUUCCAAAUAAUCUUGGCAAAUAUUAUUUGGGUGAAAUUUCGCCAUGUGUUUGGCCAGAGUAUUUGGGAAAUAUAUUUCACUUUUUAGAAAAAUAUGAUUUAUACCCAUAAAUUUUUAAAACUAUUAAAACUAACUGUAAGUUUGUAUUACAAGUCAAUUGGAUCUUCGUUGCAACAAUAACAAAUAGUUUCCAUGACACUAGAGCAAUGUGGUAGUUUGGAGUGAGUGCAACAAGUAUCAUUCCAUACAUCGUGAAGUAGACAAAGCACAUGACUUUAUUACCCUAAGUCGAUUGUUCAUCAUUUUCAUCAACAAUCAUAUCAUCAUUAAUAUUCACUGAAUAUUUCAUCACUGCUUUAGUGUUCACGUAAAAAAUUAUGUAAUACAACGCAAACAACUACUAUAGAGGGUGUUUUUGUAAAAGAUAAAAGUUUGCUAUAAAAUUUCAUUUUUCAAAAGAGCCCAAAUAAUGAGAUUUGGCCCAAAUACUAGAAAAAACUAGUAUUUGGGAAUUUGGGAUAUUUGUCAAAAAUAUUUGCCAAAUAAUGGCAAAUUGUAUGGACAAACACUAUUUGCCAAAAUUUUUCCCCAAAUAUUAUUUGGGAAAUCUAUGGCCAAACGGGCCAUUAUUAAGGCUUAUUUAUUGAUCUGUGUUAAGAAUUUGAUUGUUGGUGUAUCGGCACAAAGUUGAUAACACAUACAGUAUUACUCAAUUAUUGAGUAGGACUUGUAAGAUAUGACCCCUAGGUCUAACUCAACCCCAAAAGCUAGCUCAUGAGGAGAGGAUUGAUAUAUUAUCUAUUAAUUCAUCUAAUUUAUCGUUAUCAGUUUUUAGUCCAUGUAAGGAUUCGAUCAGUACAUUCCCCAACCAAUGUGGGACUUUUACCCCUCUAACACUCCCCCCCUCCCCCUUUCAUGCCCAGGCUCGACUGGAGUAUGGACCGGGAGCCCAAACGGGGAUAGACCUGGCUCUGGUACUAUGUAAAGAUAUGGCACCUAGGCCUAACUCAACCUCAAAAGCUAGCUCAUUAGGGGAGGAUUGCUCAAGUUCAUAUAAGGAGUCUACAUACUAUGUGCACCACCAAUUAAUUUGUUGUAUGCUACCAGUAUUUUAGAUCACAUGCUUAUAGAUUGCAUGCCAAAGGAAUCCAUGUUUAUAGGUUAUAUGGUUUAUAAAGGACAUGUUUAUGUGUUAUGUAUUUUAUAAGAAAGAGUCUCGAAUGCUACAUGGCUCACAAAUCACUUGCUUAUAUAUUACAUACCUUUUAGAAACUAUACACCCGCAUGUCGUAAGUUACUUGUUUAUAUGACACAUAAUUUCCAAAAGUUUAUGCGAUUUGGAAGUCUAGGUUUAAUCACUUUUAUAAUGUGUUAUUAAUUGUAAGACAGAAAUGUAUCUGUUUUGUGAGUUACAAUUUAUAUGCUUUUAGGAUAUGGGUCUUCAUAGCUCACUAAUUUCAUGUCAUGUGUCACUUAAGAACUACUUACUUGGAUGCUACUUUUUGUCCGGAAAACUAUAUGCACAUCGGAAAUAUAUCAAAAUCAUAUUACUUACAUGAAUAAUAGGCAGCACAUAUGUUUAUGCUAGAACACAUAAACUUUCUGAAAUUUAAUUCAAGAAUUACUUAUUAAAGCAUGAGCAUAUGUGAAUCGUAUGUCCAUGAGAUUCCUUCUACCUAUAUUAUUUCUUAUAUAUUGUGUGUUCUCACCAAAGACAUGUUUAUCUGAAAAAUGUUCCAAAAAUGUGUGUGCUUGCAUCAGAUAUUCAUUAAGCUCGUGUUUAAAAAAAAAGGGUUUGCGCUUCCAUUAUGAAAAGAAUAAGUUUUAUACAUCCAACAUAUUUUAUGCCUUUGUUUGUUAGAGUGGUAUAACUCUCAUAGAUCAUAUGUAUGGAAGGUAAGGUAUUAGCAUGUAAAGACCCUUAAGCAGGGGCGUAUACAGGAGGGGUCACCGGGUUCACGUGAACCCAUGGUCCCCUCCCGAAAUCAUAUAUAGUAGUGUUAUAUUUUUUUAAAAUAUUUAAAUAUAGAUGUGUGAACCCAGACUCAAAGCAUCAUAUAAUGUAGUACGAUGAUGAUUGGGUGCACCUCUCUAGGUGAGGUUAGAAAUUUGAAUCUUUUAUCUAUCUUGUUUUAGUUUUCUUUCUAAGAUUUUGUAACUGGUUUGGAUAAAUAAAAGUUAAUUUUGGACCUAUGAUUUUAAAAUUUCAAUGGUUUUCAGUAAAAUGAAUCUAACCGAUCAAAUUUAUGUCUUAGAUCCACCUUUUUGUAAUAGUGCACCCAUUAUCUAUAAAUCCUGAAUAUGCCUCUGCCCUUAAGGUCGUUAUGGGUAAAUCAAUGGUAAAAGAAUUUGAGUAGGAUAACUUUUGGAGUAGUGAGUUGAAAAUUUUAGACUAGGUCAACCUCAAACGAAAUCUGUGCAAGGUGAGGUCUAGGACAAUCAGAAAAAAGGAUUAUUAAAAUGUUAAAGCUUAGGUUGGUUUUUCUAUUAGCUUAGACGUUGAUUCCACAAGUGGACCCACUCCAAUCGUUAUAGGUAGACCAAAUGUGAAGGAAUCAGGUAAGAAAAACUUUUGGAUAGAGACUUAAAAACUCCAGGCUACGUUGGUCUUAGAUAGAUUCUGAGUGAAGAAGGUCUAGGGCAAUCCAGGAAUGGGUCAGGUGAUAUGUCUAAGUUGUGUUUAUUUUUUCUAGUAGCUAAGACAAUAAGAAAUCCAUAGGACCUUUCUGAAUCAAAUUCGGGUGAGUAAAACUCUCGAGAUCGAACUUGGCAUAAGGGAUAUUAGUUUAGGAUGUCAAGGGCUGAAGGUACGUUGUGAAAUGUGGGAUUUUGGAGAGGUUUACAUGCCUCUAAUUCCAUGCAAGCCUCUACAACAGACGUCAUGCCGCUAUAGCCAGAUGACUUAGCAGGCGCUAUAGUGGGUUGGACCGAUAUGGCAACGCCACUAUAGCGGGUUAGGACGCUAUAGUGGAACAAGUCAAGAUUUAAUGCAAAAAAAUCCUAUAAAACCUAUUUUUGGUGUUCAGUUCUUGAGAAGAAGGAAGGCGAUUUAGGGCAUUCUUUUAUAGUUUUUCCACCAAUUUCUUCAAUAAAUGUAUGUGAAUUUCUCCCUUUAACUUGUAAAUUGAUUCAUAAGAUUUAGUUACUAGAGGUUUACUCUUGGGGAGGGUUUUAACGUGAAUUAAAGGUGUAAAGAACCCUUGUUGGGUAGAAUAAUCAUUAAUUGGCAUGGGUUAGGAUUUGGUUUUAAUUCAGGUAUUGUUAAGCGAUUACUGAUUGAUUAUUGUAUUUUCAUUAUUGGUUAGACCAAGAACAAGCAUGGCACUAUAAAAAGGGAAAACUCAAGUUUUUUUAAGUUUCGAAGGUUUGCUUCGAGGUAGGUGAUGAUUGUUGUUUACAAAGUAUGUAAUAUGUGCAUGUGAAUUGCUUUGUAGUAUUAUUGUGUAAUGCAUUUGGGGGAAAACUGAAAGGUUAAUGUGAAAUGAUAUCAUGUGGUAAUCUUAUGUAAUCAAACCUGUUUAUUUACUUGUGGUUUCAAGUUGGUUUCUCAUUGUGAUUGUGGUUGUGCAUGCCAUUAUUUGUGAUUGAUGGUUGACUCGGGUACCAUGCUGGUACAUGAAUACUAACAGAUGGCUUGAGUACCACUCUUGGUAUGAAUACUAAUAGUGAUUGGUUCAAGUACCAUAUUUGUACACUAACAAUUUGUGUGCGGGUUCCAUGAGUGGUGUGUGCACGUACGUUCCAUGAGUGGUGUGUGUGUGUUUGUUGAGUACAGGGCAUAUUCAUGCGUUUUCUUCUAGACCUCAGUUGUGAAAAGAAAGACAUAUGAAUUCAAGGGUGGGCUAUUUCUUUUGGGCUGUCAUGGUUUCUUCCUUAUCUAGUUGUCUAUGUUUUUAGACAUAGACAUUUAGAUUCUAGACUUAUGCUUUAUUAGUCAAGGUUGCAUCCCCUUUAUUUACGAUACUUAGAGUUUUAGUACUAUGACUAUCAGACUGUAGGGAGCUGAUUCUGCAAUGAUUUUUUUAAGUGGUUGACUUUAUGGGAACUUGAUCUUUUAUCUAUCAAGACUGCUAAUUAGCUUUUUUUCCUUUCAUGAUUGAUUUCUAAAACUAGUCUUGAUAGGUCACGCUAGGUUAGAAAAUAGUUCUUCCACCGAAGGGUUAGUGUAGGUACAACUCACGAUGGUCUAGGUCUUGACAAUAGGGCUUUAAUUUCAUAAGUGAAUUUAGAUAAGUAGAACUUUCUAUAUCAAAUUUGGUGGGGGGUGGGGGGGGGAUUAGUUUCAACGUCCAGGUUUGAAGGUGUAUUGUGAAAUAGAGACUUUAAGGAGGAUUUGACGAGUUUCAUUUAUGUGCAAAUCUCUAAGGCAAAGGGUAGAGUACUACGACGGCCAAAUUAAUUCUUGUUGUAGCAUAAUGUCAUGCUACAACACCGUCGUUGUAGCGGGAUUAGGCCUCUAUGGCAGGAUAAGUCGCCAAAAAUGCAUAAACUCCCCAAAACCACCCAUAAUCAUCCAAGAGUUUUUUGGGGAAGUGUAGGGGAGACCUAGGGUGAUUUUCUCUUAUUUUCAAUCAUUUUCAUCUAUGAAGGUAAGUUAAUUACUAUUUUAACUUACUAAUUCGAUUCUUAAGCCUUAAAAUUUGUGGUGACAAUCUUAAGGCAAAGUUUUGUUUAAUUUAAUGAUGAAGAACUCCUGAUUUGGAUGGGAUGAUCAUGAGAAUGACCUAGGGUUCAGAAUAGGGUACAAUCCAGGUUUUUAGGCUAUUGAGGUGUGAUUAUGUGUUGUAUUGAUUAUUUGUAGAUCAAGAACAAGCUAGGUAUCUUAACAAGGGGAAGACUCAAGUUCAAUAGAGCUUCCAAGGAUAGAUUCCAGGUAGGUGACGAUUGUUAGUUUCCCAGUAAUGUUAUGUAUGCAUGUUAAUUGUCUUUAUAGUGAAACAUGUACAAUUCAUUUUAGGGAAAACGUAAGGGUUAAAUAAGAAAUGAUGAAUUGUUGAUAAUCCCAUGCAAUAAAAGUGUUUUGAUUACUUGUAUUUACAAGUGUGAUUUUAUUUUAUUGUGUUUGUUUGACUAUCAGGUUGCUCGGGUACCACACCUGGUAUGAAAUAUAUCUCAGUUAACUCAGGUAUCAUGUCGUGUACCUUGGGUACCAUGCCUGGUACAAAAUAUCUCUUGAUUGGCUCGGGUACCACGCCUUGUACAUAUUAUCAGUUGGCUUGGGUAUUAUGCAUGAUACAUAAUAUCUCUUGAUUGGCUAGAGUACUACAUCUGGUAUAUGUUAUCAUUUGGCUCAAGUGUCACGUCUGGUACAUUUUUUACUAUUCUCUUGUGUAUUGGUUCCUGGAGUGAACCGGACUUGUUUGUGAUCAUGUGGGACAUGCUUCAUAUAAAUGGGUAAGUCGGGAUUGGUGAUUGAGAGUCUAGGUGUAUUGCUGACUUGGUUGAUGUAUGUGUUGUCUUGUCUUUACUAUAUUUUAGUUAUGUGUUUACAUUCAUAUCUUUGGAGCUAGACGAUAAUUCUACCAGUACACUGUGGUUUAUGUACCCAUAUUGCACUUGCUCUUUCUUUGUUGAGUACAAUACAUAUUCAGGUGGUUGUUUCGCUAUCUUAAUUGUGAUUCCCUAGUUAUUGAUACUUCCUCCGGUCUGCCACGG